CAAGAGACACCCAGCAGCCCAUGUGGGCAUCUGGUCAACACGUGCCUGAGGCGCCGUCUGACACCACUGGGCAAAAAUCACCUGCACCUACAGGGAGACUACUUGAGGCUCCGUGGUACUUGGGGAUCUGGGUGAAACUUCUCCUGUGACAAAGCUCAGACAACGGGAAUUUAUCACUGAGAAGCAUGUCCGACCUGCAGGCUUUCUACUCGGCCAGGUGGUGACCAAAGAGCGGUUCUAGCAUGUGGGUGAAGUCACACCACCAAGCCCAUGGCUUUAAAAAUCCCAGCCUUGGGCUUGUAAGAAACAGAAGACAUAAAUCAGCCCUCUAGAGAACGUUUUCCAACUGCUCAAAAUGGAUCAGAAUUGAAGUGGCCCAGCAAAAACAAAAACUCAAGUUUUAAAGCCGAUGGGCAAGAACCUGUGGGUCACCGAAGUUGACCAGAGACGCAGAGAAGCCCAUCAGCACGGCGCAGUUUAGCCACCGACCCAAAGAGGAGCAAAGGGGCCGUGUCCGCGCAGGAUCAGGAACCUGGAAAUACUCAGCUAAAUAUAGCUCCCCAGUCCGCGGGGCUUGGAAAGGUGGCCAAGAACAAGCAUCUGGCAUGCUCAGUCACUCCUGUCACUUCCUGUUACUCACAUCCUGCCGUUCCGAUGCUGCCCGAAACACUGGGUUCGCCACACACAAUCCCCACCUGGAAGCCCCGAUAUACACACUAUUCACGACAGCUGGGAUGUGCGUAGACACAGGACUUCCUCACACGGUAUCAUACGAAAC